rnacentral:misc_RNA from 1 species
CCGUGGGGGCUUCGGCCCCCUCGAGAUAGAACCCUUGCCUUUUUCGAGUACCUUCGUUUUCCUCGGCAGGCUCGCCUGCCAAUGGGGACCCCAACAAACCCUUUGUAAUGCCUGCAAUCGUCUGACAAAACAAGCAAAAAUCA